GGAUUGGAGUCUAGAGAAUCUUAUUACGUACGUUUCUAUUACACACACACUCUCUCUCUCUCUCUCUCUUAAUCUCUCAUCCAUCGAUCCUUCUCUCAUUCGUAAACCCAAAAAGCCGAAACGCCUCUUCAGAAGCUCAAUCAAUCGACCCCGUGCGAGAACGAUUAAUCCAUCUUCAAUACUCAAUAGUGAAUAUCGAUGGUAAUGAUGGAUUUGAAGAAGUUAAAUCGAUGGGUUUUUAUCGAUGAUUUGAUGAUCGAUUAUCACAUCCAUGGUAGAAUCUUCUCUCCUUAUUUGUUUGUAUGUUUUUAUUUUCUGUAUUGUGGAUUAGGUUCGUCGUUAUUUCGAGUUCAAUCGAUUGUAUGUUUUUUCUUCUCAGACAUCUUCGAUCUUCAUCUUGCAGGUAUGAUUUUUUAUUUUAAUUUUAUGCAGUCGUUCCGUUACUUUAUCUCUAAACUCAUGCGCACCACUGAUUCACCAUAUUCCAAAAUCUUUAAAGAAGGGUAGGAAUUUGAUCCAAAUUGUUGGGGAUUCGUGUAUGAUACUAUGUAACUGAAUGAGAGAAAAGAUUGGAUAGUGAAAGGAGGUAGAAGUGCAUUAAGAUGGGGCCAAUACAACAUAGACAUAAAAGAAUUUGCAGAACUGGAUAUAAAGAUUGGUCUCUGUUGCACAAGUGUGGAGACAAUGGUGGAGUCUAACUAUUAUAGACAGAAGGGCUCGAGUUUGAUUCGAGGUAAUAUCAACAAGCUCAAAUGUUUAGAAUGUGGAGUUGUUUAACAGGAUGUUUCAGAUCUAGAAUUCCACCAACCUAUGAUUUGUUAAUUUAGCCGAACUGGAGAUCCGAGUUUGACUCGAGGUAAAGUCAACAAGUUUCUUUUUUUACUUUUAUUUAGUAUUAUUUUGUUCAAUAGUCAAACUGGAGAGUUGGGUUAAAGAUCAACAUAGAGGAGUGUUUUUUUAUAUGCAUCCGCAUUAUAAUUUUAAUUUCACUUUGUCAUUAGACUUAUGUAAUAUGUAUAUUUAACUUCAUGUUAUGCACGUUAAAUUUUAAUUUAACUUUCUCAUUAGACUUACCAUUGGUUUAAGCCAACUCAGCUGACACUUGGCAUAGCUCUAAGGCCAGGAUUGGAGAAGCUUCUUUUAUACGCUUCAAUUAUACUGCCUCUCUCAUUCUCUCAUCAUUCAUCGUUCCUCUUCUAAAACAAAACCCUAAUCGCUGAAUCGCCUCUCAGGAGCUCAAUCGACCCUGUCCGACAACCUUCAAUCGAUCUUCAAGACGCAGUACUCUACCAUUGACGGCAAUGUUUGAUUUCGUUCAUCAUCUCUCUUUACUUUCAUGAAAUGAUCAGAACCUUUUCCUUACAUUUAUGCGGACUUGAUUUCAUCUUAGAACGUGUCAUUGAGAGCAACACAUGGUAGAGUGAGUUUAUUACAGGACGGUUCAGUUGUGGUUGAAGUCGGUGGUAUUGAGUUGGGUCAGGGUCUCUGGACCAAGGUUAAACAAAUGACUGCAUGUUGUGUAAGUGCGGUUCAGUGUGACGGAAACGAUGGGCUCUUGGAGAAGGUUCAGGUCAUACAAGCGAACACUUUGAGUAUGGUUCAAGGCGGGUAUACGGCUGAAAGUACAACCUCUGAGGCAAGCUGGUAAGCUGUUAGACUUUGUUGCGAUGUGUUGGUUGAAAGACUUGUGUCAUUGAAGGAAAAAGUGAAAGAACAAAUGGGUUCGGUUAAUUGGGAGUUACUUAUUAUGCAGGCGGUUGUACAAUCGGUGAACUUAUCCGCAAGUUCAUUUUUUGUACCUAAGUUUACAUCUAUAAGUUACAUUAAUUACGGUGCUGCAGUUAGUGAGGUGGAAGUAAAUCUUUUGAAUGGAGAAACCAAAAUGUUGCAAAGAGACAUCAUAUAUGAUUGUAGACAGAGCUUGAAUCCUGCUGUGGAUUUGGGACAGGAAUGACAAAUGAAAUUAGAUUAUGCUCAGAUCUGGACAGGCGUUCGUUGACGAAGGUGGAAGCGGUGUGAUUACUGAUUCCUUUGAAUAGUUUACGGGGAGUAGCAACCUCAACCACUUUGAUAAGUGUUUGAUCAAACAGGUUUAAGGAAGCACACUUCUUGAGGGCAGUCACCCAAUUCUUGAAUCAUUAAAAGAGAUGAGUAAAAUAGAAUGUCCAAAGGUAUCUGAAAAUAUGAGGUUGAUGUUGGUUUUAAUGCCCCCGGUAGUGUGAAUAUUUUUAUACUGUUUUGUCAUCAUCACAAAGGAUGUGAUAAAUGAAUCUGAAGGUUACAUUAGGGAUAAUUUGAAGCGUAAAAAGACUACAACCUUCGUGUUUUUCAUAUUUUAAUACGUUUAUGUAUUGUAGCUACUUGGAAAUCAAGAAAUUAGUAAAAAGGCUACAACUUCGUGUUUUUCA